AACCUAUUAUCUCAAAUGGUAGAGCACUAUGCAGAUGCAUAGGGGAUGUAGGUUCGAUUCCUACAUAGAUUG
rnacentral:tRNA from 1 species